AUGCUUAAGAAAGCUUUGAUUUCUGCACCCAUUGUUCAGCCUCCUGAUUGGAAUUUACCCUUUGAAAUUAUGUGUGAUGCUAGUGAUUAUGCUGUAGGUGUUGUCCUAGGACAAAGAGUUGAUAAGAAAUUAAAUUUUAUCCAAUGUGCUAGUAAAACUCUAGACAGUGCCCAGAGAAAUUAUGCUACUACUGAAAAGGAAUUUCUAGCAGUUGUAUUUGCUUGUAAUAAGUUCAAACCUUAUAUUGUUGAUUCUAAAGUAACUGUUCACACUGAUCAUGUUGCUAUUAAAUACCUUAUGGAAAAGAAAGAUGCUAAACCUAGACUUAUUAGAUGGGUACUCCUGCUACAAGAAUUUUAUUUACAUAUUAUUGAUAGAAAGGGAGCUAAGAACCCCGUUGCAGACAAUUUGUCUAGGUUAGAGAAUGUUCUUGAUGACCCACUACCUAUUGAUGAUAGCUUUCCUGAUGAACAAUUAGCGGUCCUAAAUGCUUCUCGUACUGCUCAAUGGUAUGCUGAUUAUGCUAAUUAUAGUGUUGCUAAAUUUAUACCACCUAGUUUCACAUACCAGCAAAAGAAAAAGUUUUUGUAUGAUUUAAGGCAUUACUUCUAUGAUCACCCACACCUUUAUAAAAAGGAGUAG
rnacentral:rRNA from 1 species